rnacentral:rRNA from 1 species
GGAAUAUUGGGACAAUGGGCGCAAGCCUGACCCUGUAAAGGGGCGUGUGUGAAGAAGGCCUUCGGGUUGUAAAGCACUUUUGUUCGGGAAGAAAAGCUACCGGUUAAUACCCGGGAGUCAUGACGGUACCGAAAGAAUAAGCACCGGCUAACUUCGUGCCAGCAGCCGCGGUAAUACGAAGGGUGCAAGCGUUACUCGGAAUUACUGGGCGUAAAGCGUGCGUAGGUGGUGCGUUAAGUCUGUCGUGAAAGCCCCGGGCUCAACCUGGGAAUGGCGAUGGAUACUGGCGCGCUAGAGUGCGGUAGAGGAGAGUGGAAUUCCCGGUGUAGCAGUGAAAUGCGUAGAGAUCGGGAGGAACAUCAGUUGCGAAGGCGGCUCUCUGGACCAACACUGACACUGAGGCACGAAAGCGUGGGGAGCAAACAGGAUUAGAUACCCUGGUAGUCCACGCCCUAAACGAUGCGAACUGGACGUUGGGAGCAACUAGGCUCUCAGUGUCGAAGCUAACGCGUUAAGUUCGCCGCCUGGGGAGUACGGUCGCAAGACUGAAACUCAAAGGAAUUGACGGAAGCC